UAGGGAAUCUUCGGCAAUGGGGGCAACCCUGACCGAGCAACGCCGCGUGAGUGAAGAAGGUUUUCGGAUCGUAAAGCUCUGUUGUAAGAGAAGAACGUGUGUGAGAGUGGAAAGUUCACACAGUGACGGUAACUUACCAGAAAGGGACGGCUAACUACGUGCCAGCAGCCGCGGUAAUACGUAGGUCCCGAGCGUUGUCCGGAUGUAUUGGGCGUAAAGCGAGCGCAGGCGGUUUAAUAAGUCUGAAGUUAAAGGCAGUGGCUUAACCAUUGUUCGCUUUGGAAACUGUUAAACUUGAGUGCAGAAGGUGAGAGUGGAAUUCCAUGUGUAGCGGUGAAAUGCGUAGAUAUAUGGAGGAACACCGGUGGCGAAAGCGGCUCUCUGGUCUGUAACUGACGCUGAGGCUCGAAAGCGUGGGGAGCAAGCAGG
rnacentral:rRNA from 1 species